UUGCAUGCACUUCUCCCUUGCAAUAGUUAGCGCACGGCUCAGCAAUGAGCCAUUCCCCUAUGCCCAGAACCUAUGUUCUGGGCAUUUUUUA
rnacentral:sRNA from 1 species